rnacentral:rRNA from 1 species
AUUGAACGCUGGCGGCAUGCCUUACACAUGCAAGUCGAACGGUAACAGGUCUUCGGAUGCUGACGAGUGGCGAACGGGUGAGUAAUACAUCGGAACGUGCCCGAUCGUGGGGGAUAACGAGGCGAAAGCUUUGCUAAUACCGCAUACGAUCUACGGAUGAAAGCGGGGGAUCUUCGGACCUCGCGCGGACGGGGCGGCCGAUGGCAGAUUAGGUAGUUGGUGGGAUAAAAGCUUACCAAGCCGACGAUCUGUAGCUGGUCUGAGAGGAUGAUCAGCCACACUGGGACUGAGACACGGCCCAGACUCCUACGGGAGGCAGCAGUGGGGAAUUUUGGACAAUGGGCGAAAGCCUGAUCCAGCCAUGCCGCGUGCAGGAUGAAGGCCUUUGGGUUGUAAACUGCUUUUGUACGGAACGAAAAGCCUCUUUCUAAUAAAGAGGGGUCAUGACGGUACCGGAAGAAUAAGCACCGGCUAACUACGUG